AUGAGCUGCAAUGACACACUGAGGAGUCUGAGGCUUAGCUACAGGAAAAAUUGCCAGUUAUAAAUGGAAGAGAAACCUAUCUACUUGGAACAAAUCACAGAUAGCCACAACAGGCAAAAUCUGUUUGUCUUUAUUGUGGUCAUUACUUUCCUCCUAGUUCCUUUUCCAAAUUUUUAGGUCCUAGAGCGGCUGUGUCCGACCCUCUCAGAAUCCUAGAAUACGCUCAAAAUGUUUUAUGACUCUUCGGAACCUUUCUUCGCCAGAAGGGCCAUAUCAAUGAGCUCAGCCUCUCACAACACAGAAUGAAGAGAGGAAUGGGUUUGUCAGACUCUGAGGAGGCUUGAAUGGCAGUAGUCACGAGACUGGGAUCACAUCUCUAUUUGUGUCUGAUCCGGAGCAGGGAGAAGACAAUGUAGUAAAGGCCAGUAAAUAUGAGUGAUAACCUCUUUCUGACGAACAAUGCAAACUUCCUCACAUAAUUUUUAAUUCAAAGUCAGAGAACUGAAGCACCUCUCUGCAGUGCUACCCUCUUCAGGCCACCGGUAGCUCCUGGGAAACCACCAAAUCACAGCAUCUCUUCUGGCCUGGAGGGAUGGAUCAGGUCACCUGUGACACACUUAAUAUCAGCUGCUCAGUAGCCAUUCUCUGGAGGGAUACUUAUUGCUCACGACCUCAUGUGAUUAAUUCCUCAAGCACAGUCUAUCAUAUAAAUCCUUUCCCUAGCUUUCAUGCCCCAAAUUCCAAUUAUAAGUAUUAGUGAAUGUCAUCUUCCAAGAAACAAAGACCUCAGGCCACAACUCAAUAUAAAACUCAGGCAUAUAUGAUGAA